rnacentral:rRNA from 1 species
AUUGAACGCUGGCGGCAUGCUUUACACAUGCAAGUCGAACGGCAGCACGGGAGCGAUCCUGGUGGCGAGUGGCGAACGGGUGAGUAAUGUAUCGGAACAUGCCCAGUCGUGGGGGAUAACGCAGCGAAAGUUGUGCUAAUACCGCAUACGAUCUAUGGAUGAAAGCGGGGGAUCGCAAGACCUCGCGCGAUUGGAGUGGCCGAUAUCAGAUUAGGUAGUUGGUGGGGUAAAGGCCCACCAAGCCGACGAUCUGUAGCUGGUCUGAGAGGACGGCCAGCCACACUGGGACUGAGCCACGGCCCAGACUCCUACGGGAGGCAGCAGUGGGGAAUUUUGGACAAUGGGCGCAAGCCUGAUCCAGCAAUGCCGCGUGCAGGAUGAAGGCCUUCGGGUUGUAAACUGCUUUUGUAUGGAACGAAAAGACUCUCUCUAAUAAAGGGGGUUGAUGACGGUACCAUGAGAAUAAGCACCGGCUAACUACGUGCCAGCCGCCGCGGUAA